rnacentral:rRNA from 1 species
UCAACCUGAGAGUUUGAUUCUGGCUCAGAACGAACGCUGGCGGCAGGCCUAACACAUGCAAGUCGAGCGCCC